CCUUAUGUCUCUCAGUUCUUAGUGGUUGUGAUCCAUUAUCACUAUACUCCUCUCACUACUUUAAAGGCACAACAAAAACCAGAACACUGAGAUAAGGGUUUUUUAAAAUAAUAAAUACUAAAUAAUAGUGUUAAUAUUUUUUAGGAAAAUAACCUUUAAAAAAUAUUCUGAUAGAGUGAUAAAGAACACAUGUCUUACUUUCCAUGUAACAACUAAAGGGAAUGUGUACUUUGAGUUUUCAAAAUAUAGUGACUCAAUCAUUGUGAUAAAAUAAUUUUCUCAAAUUUUCCCAGUCUGAUAAUUUCUUCCCACCCCCAUCUACAGUUAUUUCUCCUGGCUGUCCUCCAUGAUUGCCUUCUUUUUCCUCAUGUGUGCGGCUCCAGGUGCAGUGGAGUCCACUAAUCUUGUCCGCUGAACUAUAUCCAAUAAACAUUCAUAUUUCUCCAUUUAUUUUCUAGAUGGUAAAUCUGCAUGUUAGAUAAUUUACAUGAAUUGUGAUCCAAACAGAACCUUCUCAUAGUAAAUGGCUGAUAUGUCUCUUAAUUCUCUCUUUUUUCUUUUUAGGGGCACACCUGUGGCAUACAAAAGCUCCCAGGCUAGGGGUCAAAUCUGAGCUGCAGCUGCCAGCGACUCCACAGCCACAGUGAGACAGGAUCCAAGCUGCAUCUGCAACCUACACCACAGCUCAUGUCAACACUGGAUCCUUAACCCACUGAGUCAGGCUAUGGAUCAAACCCAUAUCCUCAUAGAUACAACUCAGGCUUAUAACCCACUGAGCCACGACAGGAACUCCUUAAUUCUCUUAAUAUAACAGGCUUUCCUUCUUUUCUUGCACCAUUUUUUGUUUUGGAAAUUGUGUUGGUUGCCUUGUAGGGUUUCAUAUUGUUGAUUAAAAUUCUGUAGUGAUAUUUAUGAGUCCUAAACAUAGUGAUUGUUUUCAGAUCUACAUCAUGUCUGGCAGUGUUUGUUUUGGCUAUGUGCCACAAGACACUAAAAAUAAAUGACAAACUUGGGAAAGUAUGUGGCACCUGAAUUCAUAAAGAGCUUCCAAAAGGUAGGGAAGAAAGUACCUAGGAUACCUAGGUAGAAUAUCUGGAGAAAAUUGGUCUAAAGAUUUAUAAAAGAGAGAUCAUGGAAAAAGAAAUGCUGACUUUAAAAACAAUGCUGAACUCAAUCAUAAUGAGAUAAAUAGAAUAUAAAAACACACUAAGGUAGUAUUUCUCAUCUGUAUUAUUGGUGGAAAAUAUUUGUCAACUUGUUCUGCUGGUAGCUAUGGGAAUAUAGGCACAGUGAUACAAUGCUGGAGAGAAAUUAAAAUGGUAGAACUCAUAGGAAGGGGAAUUUGGCAAUAUCAAGUACAAUCACACAUUUAUUUUUCAUUUGGUCCAAUUAUCCCACUUGAAUAUAUGCUAAAAACAUGCUGGUAUUAAAAAAUUCAGAAAAACAAAUGGGAAAGUCUCCUUAUAUAAGAAUAGGAAUAUUUUUUAAUAGUCAAAGACUAGAAAUAUCCUCAAUGACCAUUUGCAAAGUCUUAUGAAAUACAUCCUGAUGCAGCCUUGCAAAAGAUUACUACACAUCUGGAAUAAAAAGAAUGAAGAUUUGCUCCUUACACUACCAUAUCUUGAUAUUUAGAAAAUAUUAAGGGGUAACAGCAAGGAAGAAAUAACUCUAAUAUGUGAUACUUUAUCUAAGAAGCAGCAGCAGCAGAUACCACAUAUAUACCUGUAUUUGGUUAUAUUUUUCAAAAUUAAUGAAAAGAUAAACCUAGAUUUAAAGCUCAUUAGCUUAAUUUUAAGCUAAACUAAACAAAAACCACUAUCUAUACAUACAGAGAGAGGCAAUCACAUGAAGAAGAAAGAAAACCCGUAAUUCUUUGGCUUUAUCUUGGUUUGCAGAUUUGACCCUGGGACCAUGUAAACAUAUCAUGCUUAGAUAAAACAAAAUUCAAUUUAGUAUGAGAAUUUCUUAAAAUUUAAAGAAAAAAUAAAAACAAGCUAAUGUUGUAUCCAAUUUUUAAUACAGCCACACAGAAAGGAAAUAUUCUAUGUGAUUUUAGAACAUUAAUUGGAGUACACAUCCCUAAUGAGAUAAAACUACUAAUACAAAAAAGUUAAAACUCAGUUUUUAAUAAUUAUGUUUUUGGUGGUAGUCUUCAUAUUGGUACACUGAUGCUUGUCAGUGAGUAGGUAUGUAUGUCAAUGAUCAGUGAAUAAGACGACAAAUUUUUUUUUUUUUGUCUUUUUAGGGCUGCACCUGCAGCAUAUGGAGGUUCCCAGGGUAGGGGUCUAAUCAGAGCUGUAGCCGCCAGCCUAGGCACAGCCACAGUAAUGCCAGAUUCUUAACCCAUUGAGUGAGGCCAGGGAUCAAACCCACAACCUCAUGGUUCUUUGUUGGAUUUGUUUCUGCUGCGCCGUGACAGGAACUCCAGAUGACAGAAUUUUUGAGAAUUGAGUUUUUCAGUGAGGAUAGAAGAUCAAGAUCUCAACUUGGUGAAGCAGGACUGGAGCUCAUAUUCUCUCAUAAAAACAGCAAAAUUACAACCAACUGCUGAAGAACCAUCAACACAAUAGACUGGAAAGUACCUACCAAAAAAGAUAUCCUAUACCAAAAGACAAAUAAGAGGCCAUAUCAAGACAGUAGGAGGGGUGAUUACAUGAUGUAAGUCAGGUAGGAAGCCCACAGACUGGAAAGUAUCUCAAUCACAGAGACUCACCCACGGGAGUAAGAGUUCUCAGCCCCACAUCAGGUUCCCAUGCCUGGGGGUCUGGCAUUGGGAGGAGAAGCCCCCAGAACAUUCUGCAUUGAGGGCCAUUGGGGCUUGUGCACAGGAGCUCCACAGGACUGGGAAAAACAAAGACUCCACUCUUGAAAGGUGCACAUAGACUCUUGUGUGCUCUAGGUCGCAAGGUGAAGCAGAGACUACAUAGCAAUCUUGGUCAGACCUGCCUGCAGAUCUUGAAGGAUCUCCUGGGCAAACAGGUGGUGACUGUGGCUUGUUUUGCGGGAAGGGCAUUGGGGCCAAAGGUCUGAAGAAUAAGUAUCAGUGUGAACUCCACUGGAGGUGGCCAUUCUGGAAAAAUUCUGGCUCACCCAUCAGAGCUGAGAAGCCCCAGGCCAAACAACUCAUCUAGUGGGAACACAGUCACACCCAUAAGCAAAAAGGCUGCCUAAAGACCUCCCAGGCAUAUGCAACCUCUAAUCACACACAGAGACAAAGCCCCACUCACCACAGGGGUAAGAAUCAGCUCCACCUAGCAGUGGGCAGACACCAAUCCCUCCCAUCAGGAAACCUGCAGCAAGCACCUGUACCAACCUCAACCACAAAGGGGCAGACAUCAGAAGCAAGACAGGAUAUAACCCUAGUGGCUGCAAAAAGGACACCACACAAAAAAUUUAUACAAAGUGAAAAGGCAGAGAAAUAUGACUCAGAUAAAGGAACAACAACAACAAAAGAAUCUAGGUGAACUGGAGAUCACCAACCUCCAUGAAAAAGACUUUAGACUAAUACUAAUGAUAGUAGAGAAGAGUCAAGAUCUUGGAAAUGAACUUGAGGCACCAUUUGAUAAAUUAUAAGAAAUACUGAAGAAAUAGAAUAUUUAAAGAUUUAAGCACGCAUAAAUGCAAAAUAUGAUAACUGAAAGAAAAAAUUCAAAAGGAGGAACCAACAGCAGAAUACAUGAGGCAGAAGAAUGAUUAAGUGAGGUG
rnacentral:lncRNA from 1 species